rnacentral:rRNA from 1 species
CAAUAGCGUAUAUUAAAGUUGUUGCAGUUAAAAAGCUCGUAGUUGGAUUUCUGGUCGGAAGCUCCUGUCCUCUGAUGAGCGUACAAGUGCGUCCUACCAUCCUUCUGUUAACCUUUAAGGCUUUCGCGGCUUUCUAGGGGCUCAGAUAUUUUACCUUGAGAAAAUUAGAGUGUUUCAGGCAGGCUAGCGCCGGAAUACAUUAGCAUGGAAUAAUGGAAUAGGACUUUUGCCUCUUCUGUUGGUCAUGAGGCUCGAGUAAUGAUUAAUAGGGAUAGUUGAGGGCAUUAGUACUUAACUGUCAGAGGUGAAAUUCUCGGAUUUGUUAAAGACUAACUUAUGCGAAAGCAUUUGCCAAGGAUGUUUUCAUUAA